rnacentral:misc_RNA from 1 species
AGGAGCAGGGUGCAAUCAUCCCCAACUAUUGAAGACUUCCAAGUCCAGACUUCAGAGGACGAUCCAAUGGUGAGAGCGUCAGCCAUGGAAGGUGUAUCAGGCGAAGCAAAAGGGGAGAUCGUUAUAGUCGAAGAAUGGAAUGGCUCUUCUUCACCCAAGCUCUCUAAAACUGCUACUAUCACCGCUUCUCCUUCUCUUUCCAUCCAAAGAUCUGGUAGCCGUUUUGAUCACGUUUGGAGACGCGUCCUUCAAGCAUUUGUACCUGAGGGUUUUCCAAGCAGUGUAACAUCAGAUUAUGUCCCUUUUC